GAUGAACGCUGACAGAAUGCUUAACACAUCAGCCAUUGAUUGGUGGCGGACGGGUGAGUAACGCGUAAAGAACUUGCCUCACCGCUAGGGACAACAUUUGGAAACGACUGCUAAUCCCUACUCCUGUGAUAGAGCUUUUCGUCCCAUUAGCUCGUUGGAGAGGUAACGGCUCACCACGGCGAUGAUGGGUAGCCGGCCUGAGAGGGUGAUCGGCCACAAGGGGACUGAGACACGGCCCGUACUCCUACGGGAGGCAGCAGUGGGGAAUAUUGGACAAUGGACCAAAGUCUGAUCCAGCAAUUCUGGGUGCACGAUGAAGUUUUCGGAAUGUAAAGUGCUUUCAGUUGGGAAGCGGUACCAACAGAAGAAGUGACGGCUAAAUACGUGCCAGCAGCCGCGGUAAUAC
rnacentral:rRNA from 1 species